UUUUACUCUGCCCCUUCACUUCAUCGUACACGGUUUCCUCCUCCUUUCUAGCUUGAGUCAAAGGAUGUUUCUUACUUUUGAAUACAACUGAAGCGUAGUUAACCUCCUCC